rnacentral:rRNA from 1 species
UGGGGAAUUUUGGACAAUGGGCGAAAGCCUGAUCCAGCCAUGCCGCGUGAGUGAAGAAGGCCUUCGGGUUGUAAAGCUCUUUUAGUCGGAAAGAAAAGAUCAUAAUGAACAAUUAUGAUUCAUGACGGUACCGACAGAAAAAGCACCGGCUAACUACGUGCCAGCAGCCGCGGUAAUACGUAGGGUGCGAGCGUUAAUCGGAAUUACUGGGCGUAAAGGGUGCGCAGGCGGUUUUGUAAGUCAGAUGUGAAAGCCCCGGGCUUAACCUGGGAAUUGCGUUUGAAACUACAAGACUAGAGUGCAGCAGAGGGGAGUGGAAUUCCAUGUGUAGCAGUGAAAUGCGUAGAGAUGUGGAAGAACACCGAUGGCGAAGGCAGCUCCCUGGGUUGACACUGACGCUCAUGCACGAAAGCGUGGGGAGCAAACA